rnacentral:rRNA from 1 species
AAUAGAUACCCCGGUAGUCCUGGCAGUAAACGGUGCACGUUUAGUGUGGGAGGAAUCGACCCCUUCCGUGCUGGAGCUAACGCGUUAAACGUGCCGCCUGGGGAGUACGGUCGCAAGAUUAAAACUCAAAGAAAUUGACGGGGGCCCGCACAAGCGGUGGAGUACGUGGCUUAAUUCGAGGCAACGCGAAGAACCUUAUCCUGGGCUUGACAUGCUGGGAUUAGCCUCCUGAAAGGGAGGUGACGCCUUCGGGUGGAACCAGCACAGGUGCUGCAUGGCUGUCGUCAGCUCGUGCCGUGAGGUGUCGGGUUAAGUCCUUAAACGAGCGAAACCCCUGUCGUCAGUUGCCAUCAUUUAGUUGGGCACUCUAAGGAGACUGCCGGUGACAAACCGGAGGAAGGUGGGGAUGACGUCAAAUCAUCAUGCCCCCUUAUGACCUGGGCUACACACGUGCUACAAUGGACGGUACAAACGGUUGCCAACCCGCGAGGGGGAGCUAAUCCGAUAAAACCGUUCUCAGUUCGGAUUGUAGGCUGCAACUCGCCUACAUGAAGCCGG